rnacentral:rRNA from 1 species
GAGCAAUACCGCGUGAGGGAAGAAGGUCCUUGGAUUGUAAACCUCUUUUCUCAAGGAAGAAACAAAUGACGGUACUUGAGGAAUCAGCAUCGGCUAACUCCGUGCCAGCAGCCGCGGUAAUACGGAGGAUGCAAGCGUUAUCCGGAAUCAUUGGGCGUAAAGCGUCCGCAGGUGGCUAAUCAAGUCUGCUGUCAAAGACUGGGGCUCAACUCCGGGAAGGCAGUGGAAACUGAGAAGCUAGAGUCCGGUAGGGGUAGAAGGAAUUCCCAGUGUAGCGGUGAAAUGCGUAGAGAUUGGGAAGAACACCAGUGGCGAAAGCGUUCUACUGGACCGGAACUGACACUCAGGGACGAAAGCUAGGGGAGCGAAAGGGAUUAGAUACCCCUGUAGUCCUAGCCGUAAACGAUGGAUACUGGGCGUAGCUUGUAUCGACCCGAGCUGUGCCGAAGCUAACGCGUUAAGUAUCCCGCCUGGGGAGUACGCACGUAAGUGUGAAGCUCAAAGGAAUUGACGGGGGCCCGCACAAGCGGUGGAGUAUGUGGUUUAAUUCGAUGCAACGCGAAGAACCUUACCAGGACUUGACAUCUGGCGAAUUCCCUUGAAAGAGGGGAGUGCCUUCGGGAACGCCAAGACAGGUGGUGCAUGGCUGUCGUCAGCUCGUGUCGUGAGAUGUUGGGUUAAGUCCCGCAACGAGCGCAACCCUCGUUUUUAGUUGCCAGCAUUAAGUUGGGCACUCUAGAGAGACUGCCGGGGACAACUCGGAGGAAGGUGGGGAUGACGUCAAGUCAGCAUGCCCCUUACGUCCUGGGCUACACACGUACUACAAUGGUCGAGACAAAGGGCAGCAAACCCGCGAGGGCAAGCGAAUCUCAGCAAACUCGGCCUCAGUUCAGAUUGCAGGCUGCAACUCGCCUGCAUGAAGGAGGAAUCGCUAGUAAUCGCAGGUCAGCAUACUGCGGUGAAUCCGUUCCCGGGCCUUGUACACACCGCCCGUCACACCAUGGGAGCUGGCCACGCCCGAAGUCGUUACUCCAACCCGCAAGGGAGGAGGAUGCCGAAGGCAGGGCUAGUGACUGGGGUGAAGUCGUAACAAGGUAGCCGUACCGGAAGGUG